rnacentral:rRNA from 1 species
GAAGAGAUUGGGAGUGCUCGCAAGAGAACCGGAACACAGGUGCUGCAUGGCUGUCGUCAGCUCGUGUCGUGAGAUGUUGGGUUAAGUCCCGCAACGAGCGCAACCCUUGUCAUUAGUUGCCAUCACUUGGUUGGGCACUCUAAUGAGACUGCCGGUGACAAACCGGAGGAAGGUGGGGAUGACGUCAAGUCCUCAUGGCCCUUAUGGGUAGGGCUUCACACGUCAUACAAUGGUCGGUACAGAGGGUUGCCAACCCGCGAGGGGGAGCUAAUCCCACAAAGCCGAUCGUAGUCCGGAUCGCAGUCUGCAACUCGACUGCGUGAAGUCGGAAUCGCUAGUAAUCGUGGAUCAGCAUGUCACGGUGAAUACGUUCCCGGGUCUU